AAUGAACGUUGGCGGCGUGGAUUAGGCAUGCAAGUCGUGCGGCAGCAGGCCCCGCAAGGGGCGCUAGCGAGCGGCGAAAGGGAUAGUAAUGUGUGGAUACCUGCCCUGGGGACGGGGAUAGCUGCUGGAAACGGCAAUUAAUACCCGAUGAUGUCUCCGGACCAAAGGUGUGAUUCCGCCCUAGGAGGGGUCCACAUCCUAUUAGCUAGUUGGUGAGGUAACGGCUCACCAAGGCCACGAUGGGUAGCGGGUGUGAGAGCACGACCCGCAUCACUGGGACUGAGACACUGCCCAGACACCUACGGGUGGCUGCAGUCGAGGAUCUUCGGCAAUGAGCGAAAGCUUGACCGAGCGACGCCGCGUGCGGGAUGAAGGCCUUCGGGUUGUAAACCGCUUUCGGAGGGGAGGAAAUCUAGGGGGGAUCACCCUUCUAGUUGACCUAUCCUAGGAAGAAGGACGGGCUAACUUCGUGCCAGCCGCCGCCGUAAUAC
rnacentral:rRNA from 1 species